rnacentral:rRNA from 1 species
AUUGAACGCUGGCGGCAUGCUUUACACAUGCAAGUCGAACGGUAACAGGCCGCAAGGUGCUGACGAGUGGCGAACGGGUGAGUAAUGCAUCGGAACGUGCCCAGUCGUGGGGGAUAACUACUCGAAAGAGUAGCUAAUACCUCAUACGAUCUAUGGAUGAAAGCGGGGGACCGUAAGGCCUCGCGCGAUUGGAGCGGCCGAUGUCAGAUUAGGUAGUUGGUGGGGUAAAGGCUCACCAAGCCAACGAUCUGUAGCUGGUCUGAGAGGACAACCAGCCACACUGGGACUGAGACACGGCCCAGACUCCUACGGGAGGCAGCAGUGGGGAAUUUUGGACAAUGGGCGCAAGCCUGACCCAGCAAUGCCGCGUGUAGGAAGAAGGCCUUCGGGUUGUAAACUGCUUUUGUACGGAACGAAACGGCUCUGGUUAAUACCCGGGGCUAAUGACGGUACCGUAAGAAUAAGCACCGGCUAACUACGUG